rnacentral:tRNA from 1 species
GGGGGCGUAGCUCAAUUGGUUAGAGCUCCUGACUGUCGAUCAGGAGGUUGCGGGUUCAAGUCCCGUCGCUCCCGCCA